GGACGAACGCUGGCGGCGCGCUUAACACAUGCAAGUCGAACGGAAAGGCCUGCUUUCCCUUGUGGAUUGCGGGUACUCGAGUGGCGAACGGGUGAGUAACACGUGAGUGAUCUGCCCCCAACUUGGGUAUAAGCCUGGGAAACUGGGUCUAAUUCCCGAUAGGACUGCAGGGUGGUGCCUGUGGUGGAAAACGAUUUUCUAGUGGUUGGGGAUGAGCUCGCGGCCUAUCAGCUUGUUGGUGGGGUAAUGGCCUACCAAGGCGGCGACGGGUAGCCGGCCUGAGAGGGUGGACGGCCACAUUGGGACUGGGAUACGGCCCAGACUCCUACGGGAGGCAGCAGUGGGGAAGAUUGCACAAUGGGCGGAAGCCUGAUGCAGCGACGCCGCGUGGGGGAUGACGGCCUUCGGGUUGUAAACUCCUUUCGACCGCGAGGAAGCCACCUGGUUGGAAGGGUGGUGACGGUAGUGGUAGAAGAAGCACCGGCUAACUACGUG
rnacentral:rRNA from 1 species